rnacentral:rRNA from 1 species
GGAUUAGAUACCCUGGUAGUCCACGCCGUAAACGUUGGGUGCUCGUCGUUGCGGGUAUUGACCCCUGCAGUGACCAAGCUAACGCAAUAAGCACCCCGCCUGGGAAGUACGGUCGCAAGACUAAAACUCAAAGAAAUUGACGGGGGCCCGCACAAGCGGUGGAGCAUGUGGUUUAAUUCGAAGCAACGCGCAGAACCUUACCUGGAUUUGACAUCCUCGGAACUUCUCUGAAAAGAGUUGGUGCCUUCGGGAGCCGAGUGACAGGUGCUGCAUGGCUGUCGUCAGCUCGUGCCG